rnacentral:rRNA from 1 species
GACGAACGCUGGCGGCGUGCUUAACACAUGCAAGUCGAACGGAAAGGCCCUGCUUUUGUGGGGUGCUCGAGUGGCGAACGGGUGAGUAACACGUGAGUAACCUGCCCUUGACUUUGGGAUAACUUCAGGAAACUGGGGCUAAUACCGGAUAGGAGCUCCUGCUGCAUGGUGGGGGUUGGAAAGUUUCGGCGGUUGGGGAUGGACUCGCGGCUUAUCAGCUUGUUGGGGGGGUAGUGGCUUACCUAGGCUUUGACGGGUAGCCGGCCUGAGAGGGUGACCGGCCACAUUGGGCCUGAGAUACGGCCCAGUCUCCUACGGGAGGCAGCAGUGGGGAAUAUUGCACAAUGGGCGGAAGCCUGAUGCAGCAACGCCGCGUGCGGGAUGACGGCCUUCUGGUUGUAAACCGCUUUCGCCUGUGACGAAGCGUGAGUGACGGUAAUGAGUAAAGAAGCACCGGCUAACUACGUG